rnacentral:rRNA from 1 species
UGGGGAAUAUUGCACAAUGGGCGCAAGCCUGAUGCAGCCAUGCCGCGUGUGUGAAGAAGGCCUUCGGGUUGUAAAGCACUUUCAGCGAGGAGGAAGGUGGUGGACUUAAUACGUUCAUCAAUUGACGUUACUCGCAGAAGAAGCACCGGCUAACUCCGUGCCAGCAGCCGCGGUAAUACGGAGGGUGCAAGCGUUAAUCGGAAUUACUGGGCGUAAAGCGCACGCAGGCGGUUUGUUAAGUCAGAUGUGAAAUCCCCGGGCUCAACCUGGGAACUGCAUUUGAAAACUGGCAAGCUAGAGUCUCGUAGAGGGGGGUAGAAUUCCAGGUGUAGCGGUGAAAUGCGUAGAGAUCUGGAGGAAUACCGGUGGCGAAGGCGGCCCCCUGGANGAAGACUGACGCUCAGGUGCGAAAGCGUGGGGAGCAAACAGAUUAGAUACCCUGGUAGUCCACGCUGUAAAACGAUGUCGAUUUUGGAGGUUGUGCCCCUUGAGGCGUGGNUUCCGGAGCUAACG